rnacentral:antisense_RNA from 1 species
CCAACGACCAAAGCAAAGGACAGCAUAACUGAAUGACACAUUGCUCAGAAAAUAUCCAAAGCUCUGUACGCUCUGGAAAGGAAGGCAAGAAUUGCUAAAGACUCUGGAUAUUGCUCUGUUUCUAUAAGGUCCCACCCAUAUACCAUCUCUUCUUUUGGAUUUCCUUUGGCAGGGUUCCCUUGUAUGGAAGUUCUCGGGAGAACAACACUCUCAGAGUCCCAUUGUCUCAAAGAAUUCUUAAUGGACAGCUAUACUUGGCCCCAAGGUUCCAACCUCACAUUGAAGAAAGUGACAUAAGAAAACACAAGUCCCAGCGCUAUCAGGGGCUAUCUGGAAAAGCUGCUUAAACGGCAAGUGAAAGAAGGCUCUCCCCUACCCCGUUCUAGGACAGAUUCCAAGCCUCUUGGAUAAGACUGAAGCCCUCCAUCACAGCCCAUCAAUCCGUUUCCUGGAGUUUGGAACCACAGCCAUGUGCCUCAUCAGUGUAAGACUGAGUCUCAGCUCUCACUUCAAGGAGGACUCAAGACAAGCAAAAGAAGUAAACUUUUGCUGGGUGCAGUGGCUCACACCUGUAAUCCCAGCACUUUGGGAGGCCAAGGCGGGUGGAUUACUUGAGGUCAGCAGUUUGAGACCAACCUGACCAACAUGAUGAAAUGUUGUCUGUACAAACAUUUCAUCAUAUGUUGUCUGUACAAAAUACAAAAAUUAGGCUGGGCGCCAUGGCUCAUCCCUGUAAUCCCAGUAC